ensembl:ncRNA lncRNA:CR31781 long non-coding RNA:CR31781
GGCCAGUCGUCAGUCAGUUGGCCAACAAACUGGUAGCGUCUGGUGUGGCGAGCCAACAAAAGGCUGGCAGAGCGGCCAACACCGGACCCGGCCCGAAACUGAAUCCGGGUCCGGGUCUGGGUCCGUGUCCGUGUCCGGGUUGGUUUCGCAGCAUCUACGGCAUCACGGCUGCCAAUUGAGCGGAGUUUGGGUCUCAAUUUGACGCGUAGCCAGCCAAGAAGAGUGGCCGGCCAACAACAAAAACAGGUGACGCAGGAUGUGGCCAACUGAGUAGGGAGAUGGCGGAAGAGCAGGAGGCGCAGGAGGAGGAGGAGGAGGAGGAGGAGGAGGAAACGCAGCACACUUUUUUGGCCACGGUCCGCGUUUGAUUAGCCAACUCAAACAUCAGGGCCAAGAUCAGGGCAAUUGACAGCUCUGCUCCCUCAGUUUCUGCUUCCGCUUGGCACACAGUCACAGAGACACACAUUGCCUUAUGGCCACUGGACGAUGGACCACAGUGGAGCCUGGGCAGUACGCAACACCUGACGCUGCCCGCCAGGAUACUCCCGUUCGUCUCGAUCAUACAGCAAAUAAGAAACAUUAAAUAAACAAUCAAAGAAACGGAGUAUUGCUCCGCAACUGCCAACAACAUUCAACGACAACCAGUUGCUCUGUGGUGCUAGAAAGUGAGUGUAAACAGUGUGUGCCUUUGUGAACUGAACUGACCAACGUGCCAAGAACGAAGGGACGAGGAGGUGGGCACUCUGGCUCGGACCCAAGCGAUUUGGCAGGAGCUGAUUGUUUCAUCUGGCCAGGCUUAAUGAAAUAACUCGUCCUGGCCGCGGCUCCAUGUCAAACGCAGCAGGGCAAUCGCCAGCGAAGCCCCAAAGGAUAAGCAUCGUCCAGAACAUCGGAAUCUCCAGCGAAGGAUGCACCAAAAACAUUAUCCACAGGACUAAGAUGCCAAAGGAAACUUUCAAGAUCCGUUUCCAAAACAAAACAUAAAAUAUAUUCAAUAAAAAUGAAGUGGAAAUGAAAUGAUACAUAAUAAAUACCCUAAUACAUAACAGAAACAAAAGCAAGUCACUAAACUUGACUGCAAAUAUAAUACGAUGACACUUAAUAGAAACAUUGUAAUAAAAUUGAAAAGAAGUAGACAAGAAUAACCACUCAUAAAACUAAAAUACCCAGCCUAUAACUAUUUUUCAAAUAGUUGGCAUAGUGCUUACUAUGAACCAUAAUCGCAUAUGAUAUAACCAAUAUUGAGCACUUAAUAUAGCCCAAUAUUAUAUAGACCCAAAUAUGAAAUAGUCACAAACAAUAGUGCAAUACAAUACGUUUAUAAAACAACGUCAAAAGUUUUAUAACGAAAAUAUAUUUCUUUAUAAUGAGCACUUUCGAACAACUACAUUUAAUAUAAAAUAGCGCGGGAAGUCUUCGGCGUGGUGAAAGUAUAAGGUGUAAGCACAGCUGAGAAGAAAGGAAUUUACAAAAUCGAAGGAAGAAGUGAAAGAAGGAGUGAAAAAACAUCUAAGCGCGGAAAAGUGCUACAAAAUGGGCAGGCGACAGUUCUGCGCAAUUUUCUCGGGCUUUUCUCUUUCGGUCUUGACGUUUUUAUCGCUUUUCUGCGCCUUUCGCCUUCGAUCUUCUGCCCGUCAAGUGUGUCCGAAAAUAGCAAGAUUUUCACUUACAUAAACCACAUCAAAGCCAUCACUCAAUUGCCACUUUCAGUCAUUUCGACCAUGUCCAAGAAUGAAUAAUGGAUGGGGAAAAUAAAGAGAAGCUGACAUCCUAAAGGAAACCUUGUUGGCCAAUUGGGGAGGAGGCCCAGAAGGUCGGGCCGAUUUUCCGCUGCAACCGACGAAGGUCUGACCAACCAAUCGCAACGCACAGCGGCGACGAAGCCCGGCCGAAUGGGAGCAUCUCGGGCAAACGGAGGGACAGUCAGCCGCCCUGCAAUGCAUUUCUUUUGGCAACGAGUCAAGCGGCCUUUCACACACACACACACACACAUUAGGAUUCCAUAAGGAUACUCUGCCUCGCUCACAUGCGCAUCGAGUGGUAUACGUAAUAUAUCAAGUAUACGCCUGUUGGCCGGGCAGAAAGUCUGUGAGUGUGUGCGAAUGGCCAAACAGAGUGUUGCCAACUGCAUUGCCGGGCUGCCAACGACUCAACCCCCGACCCGAGGACACCACCCUCCUCCCGGCCAGGAGGCCAACGACGAGUCCUUUUUGGAGGCAGCGCAUUGGCUGCAGGACGACCGGCGACAGGACGACCAAUCACCAAUCAAAUCGCGGCUUGUGCGCACUAUCACGGCCGUACGAAGGGCCAAAGGCACGGCAUCCAGGACCUCAGCCGGAGACCCCAAGCCGAUUGUCAAUCUCUUAGACAUAUUAUUAUGCCAACGUCUCCUAUAUUAUAGUUCUCUAGUCGUAAGUCACAUGCCCAAGCCAUCGCCCCAGAACAUCGGGGACAUGAAACAUUAGUUUUAUUGAUAGAGUUCUUAGUUUCGAGCAGAAGCUAUACGAUGAUGAUUUCAAGAAUGAGAAAACGGAAUAAAAACUGUAAAGCUUCAGAGCGGAAC